rnacentral:rRNA from 1 species
UACGUAGGGGGCUAGCGUUGUCCGGAAUCAUUGGGCGUAAAGCGCGUGUAGGCGGUCCGGUAAGACCGCUGUGAAAGUCGGGGGCUCAACCCUCGAAUGCCGGUGGAUACUGUCGGGCUAGAGUGCGGAAGGGGCGAGUGGAAUUCCUGGUGUAGCGGUGAAAUGCGCAGAUAUCAGGAGGAACACCGGUGGCGAAGGCGGGUCUCUGGGCCGAUACUGACGCUGAGGAGCGAAAGCGUGGGGAGCAAACAGG